CCCGGGAUGGCGGAACGGCAGACGCACCCGACUCAAAAUCGGGCGACCGGAAGGUCAUGGGAGUUCGAAUCUCCCUCCCGGGACCA
rnacentral:tRNA from 1 species